ensembl:snoRNA SNORA70 Small nucleolar RNA SNORA70
GGGCAGUUUAUUUAAAAUGAGCUGUGUUCAUGGGGGCCCAGUGUGCAAUGGCUGCAAACAGCAGCCUCCUUGGUAGUGUAUGCAAACUGUUGCCUGUACAGGUAGCCCUAAGGGACCUUGGAGACAACU